CCGAUCUCGUCUCCUUCCUUUGCGAGUUCCAGAGCGGCGGAGACGCGACUGACCUAGCUCUAUCGUCAGACCUGGGGCCAGAGCUGCGUGCGUCGGGGAAGGUCAGGUAGCGAGGUAAGGUGCAGUUUUGGAGGAGGGGCCUGAGCUCAGUCUCUUUGGGGUUGCGUCUAGGGGAGGAGCAGUCUGGUAGGAGGGAGUGGGCUUUGUAGGUCAGGCUAGUUAGGGCAGAGGGGCGGCCUGGUUUAGCGGCGGCGGCGCCGGUGGGAGGAGACCAGGCCGCGACGGAGGCUGCGCCGGCGCGCGCGAGGCGAGGCUACCCCGUGUCGCGCUCCUUCUUCUUCUUCUUCCCGCCGCGGCCCGCGUUCCGCCGGUUCCUGGUGCGGCGCGUCGAGCUCCCGCUGGUCUGGCGCGAGUGCCUGCUCGAGUGCCGCGACCGACGUUAAAAAGAGCUCCUGAAGUUUUAUUGAAGUGUUAGUGGAGUGUGGGCUAAAUCGUAUACAUAGUCCGGAAUGAGACUACCGUACCCGAAACCUCUAAAUUUACAAAGCCGAUAAGAACUGCAUUAAACGAAACGACCAAUGGGGGUGUUCACGGGCUUCAACGCUUAGUAUGGACUCUUUUUGAACACAUUUCUUCUACGACUAGCCGAUGAAAGGGAAGAAAGACUGGUCCGUUUGUAAAUAAGGGCUCUUCCCGCACAAUACUAAAAACUAAACCAUCUCCGACGGGUUCUUAAGGACAGUCGUUAACGAGGUCGAUGACUAAGUUGCUGAUGACGAGGAGUGAAUCCAAGUUUAUGUUAUGUCCUUCGUUGACUGCGUCUACACUUUCGAUCGGAACUGUCACCAGGAAUGGGACCUUAGAUAAUGUAGAUAUUGAGUAAGCUAAACAUAUUAGUUGAUAUACUACUAUUAUCAACCGUUUCCGUUCCAAAGCUAGGAUGUUGACUAUUACGGUUCUUUUUAUAACCUAGAGUUCAGUUAAGUUUACAAUCUUCGUUCUCCUUUUGUCAGUUACUCUUUAGGGCAAAAAGUCGACUAUUCCAGUUACGACGUUUUUCAAGUAGAGUCCUAUUACCACUUGUCGUCGUACGGUACUUCGUACCACAACAUGCUCUCCAUCAAGGUUCAAAUGGACAACAACGUCUCCUUUGACUAUUACUGUCGUUUUGAAACAGGUGUUCGUUGCCUCCUCCAUACCGUCUAUGAGGUCUCUCCUCAAAGUCGUCACGUGUACUUAGGCUCCUGAGACUGGAACGUCUACUUCCAACCUUACUACUUCUAAGACGGGGUCUGAGACCGAGAAGUUUACGUGGUAGAGUACAAAGUCUGUACAAACUACUACGAAGCGUUUUAUUCUCUUUCCUAAAUUAAGACCAUGUGAACGAAGCCAAUCGGACACGUAGUUUUCUAAGAGAAAGUCGACGAAACGGUCAUUAUAGUAGCCUCAAUACGUUGUAUCCCCAAGAAAGACUUACCCGAUUCGUUAAUUAAAGACUUAGAGGACGACAAAAACCCCUUUGAAAGCUAGUACAAAAACCCGUUGUUUACUAUAGAAGCCUCACGAGAUAUAAAACCUCCCGACUGUUAAGUAGCAGAUCCGGUUUGAGGGCAAUAAACUUACUAAAGCUUCUCGAGGCAAGUGAACCAGUCCCCCCGAAACCGGCACACCGUAACACAUUUUUGUUCGAGCUACCUGCGGUUAUACGACAUUUCUUCUAUGCGGAGUUCCUAUCUUCAGGAGUUCACUUACUUUUCUAAGACUCUCUUCAACGGUGUGAAAGUGCUAACGUCGUAGUCGUACAACAAGCAAUGAUGGUCCGUACCCAACUUUGACUUAUACCAGUUGUAUUACAGCACUUGUGACCCCCCAGUGCGUGACGACUCUCGAGAUACAUGUCAAAGCUGCUCUAGUCGAACAGUCUACGUCCACGACCUUUAUUCGUCCUUACGUGUAUGAACAUGUAGGUUUACCUCAUAACAGGAUCUUGGGACGCUGUCCUGAAACUCUGUAUAUCAAGUAGAAAGUUACAGCUGGUACGUACCGUGGAUAAAGCUGUUUAGCACCUUCCGGAUCGUGUACAAGUAUCAGUUCCGUAGUAUGUGGCCCUGAACUGUGGAUCGUUGUAUAAAAAACUACACGCGUUGCUAUAGUUUUAACCUCUAAAACCAGAACGGUUUAAAGAUUUCGACCUCGUCGACCUAGUACUGGUUAUAUAAGGAUGACUUCCUUACCCGCAAAGUUACCUACCUUGUCCAGUUCAUCCGUGGAUAAAAAUAUGACGUGGUCUCCAUCUUGUCUUCACCGGUGUCUAUUUGCUUUUCCAACUGUACAUGUCACGCCCACAAUAUAAGAAACUCGAAACCGUAGGUAAAAGUUGUCGUUACCUUUCUGUAGAACAAGAGUGACUAGAAUUUGUCUUUCCGCUCAGAGGUCAUAGUACCAGUUGUGUUAAAGGACCAGUUAGUUUAGAUAAUUCUGCGAAUGAUACAGGUUCGGGCAGGCUUGCAGGUAGACGCUAACUCGAAAACGUUUUACUGAACGGAGGAGCCUACCUCCUGCUCACCAAUUUACUACAUGAAUCUUACUAUGUCUGUGGUCUUCUGUGAAUGCAAAUACUAGCUCAAUAUAGAUGUUAUAAAUUACUUCUAGUUGACCAGCGGUUUUACGUUACAGUCGUACUUUCGUCAUUUUUUAGGUGAAUAUUUUUACUAUUGUCACUUGAGAACCUAAGGUAAUAACUCCAAUCGUUUCUCCAAAAAUUCGCUGUAACACGAUUUUCCAAGGUCUAUAGUGGGAACGUAUGUAACCUACCUUUUAAAUGACUUUUAUCACCUUUCUGUCACUUCUAGGAUUGUGUUCCUCCUCUCUACGAUCUUGAAACGAUACUCGACGCUUGUGGUAAACAAUACUCGCAACGACGAUUGGUCAAUAGUAGUACAUUCGCAAUACUUUAUAGUACCCAAGUGUCUUCUCGUCAACCGGUAAGUUGAGGAAUAGCAAAAGAAGUCCCACUAAAACUGUAGUAACCUCCAAGAAGUGGUUAUUGUGUACGACUUCAAUAGUUCCAUCGAAACCUGGAACACUCUGCAAAAAUGUUAAGCUUCCGUUAUCAAUAAGCCGACUUAGUAUCGUUUGAGCGACUUCGUCAAACAAGGACCCGUCCUCAAGGAGUCCUUGCUUCUGUCUUACAACGGCUCAAAGAUAGAAGAUGAGAACAAGUUAUAACGGGUUUAUUCCGCCUAGCAUUCAGUGUCACCUCAAACUAAGCUCCCGUUGAUAAUGUCCUAGAAGCAGAAAGACUUCUUCAACAACUCUUCGACGUAUUUCGUCUAGUCGCCAAAACACCUAGACGUCUAGAUCAUGAACGAUCUAAUUCUCCCUGGGAAAAGAUACUAUUUAGACGAACGUUCCGAGAACUACUAGAGAGGUGAAAGGAGUUUACAAACUCCCAUACCAGUCAACUUCUUGUAUAACGAUAACUACAUGAAUACGGAGGAAGUCUGAUAAUGAUGUGCCUAGACAAAAAAGUCUAGAUGAGUUUUCUUCCAUCAGGACGCAGCUCAAGGGUACUUUUCAACGAACGACAACCGCCCGCUAUACUAUACAACUACCUUUUACGAACCCUAUUGUGUGUAUUUUGGUUUGGGGGCCCACGACAACCACACUCGUAACGUGAACUCUUUAAGGAAGGAUUAUUAGGAAGUAGACUGCAACCCAACGGUUCCUAACUUUUAUCGUAGUCACAUGAACAUACAAGUUUCCCACCGCCGCCUGAGAAUUUGCUCGCGUACCUUGAACAACGUCUUGAAACCCUUCGAUUGUAUUUCCGGGUCAAACAAGGAGUCCUUCUGGGUUCAGAAGUUCUUGUUAUACUCAUGCGGUCACUAGUACUGUAGUUUACGGAACACAAAUAGUGACUUCGUCCAGAAAGCGUUUGUCUAGAACACUUCCAAUCUGUAGAGCUACGUUCUUUCCUCUUUCUACAACUUUUCCUUCUUUAACACUUCAAGGACAGACUUCGUUAUAGAAAUGUCAAGUUUUUAGGAUGUUAGACCUCAACUAACCGUUAGACGAGCAAUCACUUAAAACAAGUCCAAACGAUAAGGUUUCCUAGCUAGCCAUAGUCUGAAAAAUAGAUGGACAGGACCUAUAUUAGAAAGGAUACCAGUCCACUUUCGUCACAACGGAAAGGUUUGUAAAACUGGAUGUGGUUUACGUAAGUACUACGAUGUCAUGUUCUAACGUUCCACUGACCACCGAAACACGUUAGAACCAACAGGGACGUACCCGGUUCUAAUACGCCACACAGAAGUCAAGUUCUUUUCACUAACAGGACCUCGUCAUAGCGCCAGCUACGUUCGACUGCCCAUCGACAACAUGCCGUUAUAACCGACGGUGGUAAGACACCUAUCGAUCUACCCCUCUCAACGAAGACGCUACACUAGUACCUCGACGUUCCGACGUGUUACAAGAACAACUAUCGCCUUGUCGUGUUACAAGAACAACUAGACGUGUUCCAAGUGGAUCAAUGCGGGAAACGUUAGAAAAACGAAGUUUAAGAAUGUCUUCCGUCAGAACACGUAUCGAGUUUAACAAAUGCUAGUACAUGGCCGGUUAAAUUGAAGAAACUACGAGUAUCCUUUACGGGACAAAACGUUGAUCGAAUCGAACUGUUCGGUCACGUCAAAACGAUGUAUAGUCAGUUUCAUCUUACAUACAUUAGACACGUGCCACGAUCUUUCGUAGUGAACUAAGUUGAGUUCACAAAAGCAGUGACACGGUUCAUGGUUGGGC
rnacentral:rRNA from 1 species